AUAUUCUUUUAUUCUUUUACUUGUUUCAGUCAUUUGACUGUGGCCAUGCUGCAGCAGCACCUUAAAGGGCUUUUUAAAAAAAAAUAUUGAGGC